GAGGAUAUAGCUCAGUUGGUAGAGUGCUUGCCUUGCAUGCAUAAGAUCCUGGGUUCAAUCCCCAGCACCCCCC
rnacentral:tRNA from 1 species